UCGCUCUUCAGGGACGCGCCCGCCGGGGACCACGACUACGCGCUGCCGGUGGGGAAGCAGCCGCCGCAGGACCUGCUGGAAGAGGACGACGCGGCGGGAGGAGUGUGCCUCCAUGUGGACAAGGAUAAGGUGUCGGUGGAGUUCUGCUCGGCGUGCGCCCGGAAGGCGUCGUCUUCUCUGAAAAUGUAGGGUCAAGUAAUCUGCUCUUUACCCGCGUUUCCCCCUCUCAGCUCCCUUAACACCAUGUCAAACUCCUUAGUGGGACAUCGUCACUGGACACAUUUCAGGUGGAGAGGAAAAAAAAAAGUAAUAUUGAGUCUUUUAAGUGUUUAGCUAAAAGCAUGAAUGUGACACUGUAACCAACUCCCAAUGAUAACAUGUGACUAUUAAAUCUCUCUGACAGUUUCUUUUUUAGGUGAUUUCCUUCCUGCCAGGCUCCGUUGUAGGGGUUACAGAACAGUGGUUCCCGCCUCACCACCUGACUUGCGUGUACCUAGCUCUUCUGUCCCCAGUGUGGACAUGGCCUUGGAGGACAUCGAUUCCAACUGUACACUGAAAGCUGCUAAUAGAGAUACAGUUUGGAGACAGUGAAACAGGUGAAGUUGAAUGGAAGUUCCGAGUUGUACAAGGUGCAAAUUGGAAUUCCAGUAUUAGAGCAACUUUGCAGAGGUUGACCAAUAAGUGUUGGGGGCAUGCUCAAAGGUGAUAGUUAUUUUGCUGGAGGUGACAACAAAAUAACUCUUAAAUAUUCAGUAAUGCCUUUUAGUUUUAAGUAGGAGACCUAGAACUACAAUAUUCAGGCUAACAGAUUCUAAUAUCUCACUAUUAGAGAAGUUGGAAAUUAACAUGCAUAUCAGACUCCUGUGUUAGCUAAUUGAAGGAGGACUAAGAAUGGUUAAUGAAAUGCUUCUUUGAAGACCAGCACAGUGAUGACCCUAUCACUGAGUAUGAAUAAAUUGUUGAACACCUUUAUUUUUGUUGUAUUAAAAUUUUAGGUUAAAUUUAUGUAUGAUUCGAUUUUGAAGGUUGUGAAAUGUGAAUGAAAACAUGUAAAGUGAGGCUUCACAAAGAAUCUUAUUUUCCAUAUUUCAAAGGUAUUUUAAAAAUUGAGUGUUGCUGACUACUUAAUGACACGAUUGACACUUUUUCCAAAGAUGGGAUAUAUUCUUCCCUUGAAGUUCUCUAUUGUCUAUUGUCCAAUUGUAUAAAUUGAGUUAUGGUGGCCUUCAGUGUAACUGGCAUUAAGAAAUUCUUUGUUAAAAAAAGAAAGAAAGAAAGAAAAAUUCUUUGUGAAACAUCACUGUUUGAUAAAGUAUAUACCUAUUUAGCAUCCUUGUUUUUCUUUGUGCUAAAGUGGAUACAGCUGUUGGGGCAGAAGAGACGGGACCAGCUGCUGGCCACAUUUCCUGCUUUAUUUUAAAAGGUAGUAUAAGAAAUGAGGAAAAGAGGUAAUAUCAGGGCUUCUGCUGUCUUUUCUUUUAAAAUGUUCAUAAUUAAAAGUUAUUCCAGCAGUCCAAAGAUGUAAGUUAUCUUACACACAAAAUGUUUUAUUUUGUUGUUAUUUGGUUAUGAAAAUGGAAUUCUUGUUCUUGCACAACUGUAAAUGUUUUGUUUCUAGAUAAUACUAGUUGAGACUUAACGGUCUCUGGUUUCCAGUGCAUCACAGCAAUUUUGUAAAACCAUCUACUGCACUUGAGCAUGAAUGGGUAGUAGCCAAACUCACAGCCUGGAGUUAUGAAUCUGCUUAUAUGUAAGUGCAGGAGCAAGCCCCUCACGAUGCAGCUGCAUGGAUUUUUAGUGCCUACUGAAUUAUACAUAAACAUAUAUAUAUAUAAACCAAAAGUAGUUGGGAAAUUAUUUAAAAUGACUAAUUUGUGCUAUCAUUAUGAAAUAUGUUAAAUGUAGAUUUUUGAAACAGAAGUCUUGAAUUGAAAUUUAAUUAAUACUUGAACAUUUUGUAUAUAUUUCUUUGUAUAUAAUUUUGUGCAGUACCAAUGACAAAAAUAUGGUGUCAUAAUAAAACCAGGUUUGUUGAUCUUUCAGUUAUGGGCUCAAAGAAUUUUUUCAUCUCUAAUAUGACAUUGAAAAAUAAUGGAUGAGAAUAGGAAAAAUGAUUGUUAAUGCUGACUGUGGGUCUUAAAGGUUCUGGAAGCAGUAAGUGCGUUUUUCUAAAAAUUAUACCAUUCCUUGGAAUAUUUUCUUCCUAACAUCAGUGCUUUUCCUGCAUUAUUUGAAGUUGGGGUUGGGGAAAACAGUAGUCAAAAGCUUUCUGAAUUGGGAUGUUUUGAAAUUCCAAGUGUAGAUUUUUAGAAUGUCAUUUUAUAAAUGGCAGUUUUUGAAAAUACUUGAUUAAGAACUUUUGAAAGUGGAGAUUAGUAUCACCUAUUUUUAAAGCUGCUUUGUUAGGUUACUUAUGUUUUAAUUGUCUUUUCUUAGUUUCCAUUUCAUUUUUUUUUCCCUCUAAUUUUGGUGACUCAGUGAUUUUUGUCAUUUUUUGCAUCAACUUCAUAGUCUUGUUUUACAUGGUAUUGCAUGUAUUUAGGACCUGUCUAAUAGGGGCUUUAAAUAAAUUUGGUCAUAUUUAUGUAUAAACACAUUUUACUGUAAAUGUCUUGAGUUUCUGAAUUUAAACAGAUCUGUUUAUUUCAGUAUGUAGUAAACAAUAUCUUAAAAGUGUCCUAUUCACUAUUUGUUAAUUAAAAAAGUUAUGAUUAAUAUGAAACUGUUGUCUUACUAUUUUUAGAAAAUUGUGUUCUGGUGAAUAAUAGUUGUAUAAAGAUUUCUGGAAUAUAUGGAUUGUUUUGAAA